UAUCCUCACUUUCUACCAUCACUUUUCUUACACUACUCUCUUUCAUCCAUUUUAAAAAUAAAAUCCAAGAACAAAAAACACAAAUGAAACCAUCUUAAACCUAUAUUUUUUUUUUCCAUUCUUCAAAAUAUGCAAACAACAAAUCCAUCACGUACUGGAACGACAAUCAAAGGGAGCCAACACAUAAAGAUCUAAAAACUAUCAUAAAACAUGGCCGAAGAUUUUAUAUAUUUCUUGUCGAUCCACGCUACAAGAAGUAACAAAACAGAUCUUUGAUAUCUCAUGUUCUUUGCUUCAGAUCUGAAAGAAUAAAUUCUAGGUAUUGAUGGAAAAGAAGAGAGAAACACUAAUGGUUUGUAAUUUUGUAUGAUGUAGGUGUAUAGAUUUAGAUUUAGAUUUCUAUUUUGAUUUUUAUU